GCGGGACUGAUUGGUUGUUUCUGCUAGGUCCAACGCCAAUCAUAAAGAUAAGCAUGCAUAUUAGCCAAAAAUGUGACGUAUAUAAACAAAAGCAUAUAGCAUAUAGUGUACUUUCACAGCCAUUGUGCUCUCUCGCUAAUUAUUUUUCCAGCUGUGUUAGUACAUACAUCCGCAGCUUUUCCGCGGACAACGUAUGUCGAUUGCCGAUUGGACAAUUGUCUGUCAGUAUGAACUAGGCUUCAGUGAAUCCAGCAAAAGCUCGACUCGAUCUGCCGAGUCUCUCUCUCGACUCUCCACAACCCACAACAAUUGCCGUGUAUGCGAUCCUGUUUCCACGGCGGCAGCGGGCGACGACGGCGUCUGCGUGGCGUCAGCUGGGCGUGCCAUCUUGCACGUCUGCGUCCGUCUGCCCAUGGUAUCAGGGUGCCACGCUAUCUAAGAAGCUACUUAACUCCCUCUAACGAACCAAGAGACAAGCCAACAAAACCCGAUAAGUAACAGGAGUUUCGCAGUUGGAUGAACACAGGCCGAACAUUCACGACCGAAGAAGCCAAACGAGGAACGUGAAACGACGAAGGAGGUGUUCUCUGUUCAGGAACAAGAAAGGAGGCGACGAACGAAGGGGUAAGCGGACAGAGAAUGAGUCGAGGGGAGUGAUGAUUUGGUGGAACCAAACCGGUGCUGCCAGUGCUGUCGCGACGAGGAGAGUGUCACGCUCUCUCUGCUGUGCGUGGAAGAAACGAGGAGAGGGUCGCGCUUCGAGCAAGGCGACAGGAACGCCAGGAAGUAACACGCUUGCUAUUGUGAGCAACCAGUACCACUUUGGCGGCUCUUUUUGCCUUGAUGCUGGGAUUAUUAGGAGAAACGCGAGUCUGUCUCGUUGUUCGGCAAUAGGAGGUGGCGUUGGAGAGUCUGGAUCGAAGCGAAGGUGGUGGAGCAUUGAAAGUAUACUGGGAAGACUGGAAAGGGAUUUUUUGAGAGGUUUUCGGGAAGUUUUACAAUUACAUUUCGAUUACUUUAAACGAACAGCAUACAGGAUAUUGAUUGUGAUUCAAAAUUACUACAGAUUAUCUCCUUUGGACCUUCAAAUACUAAUAUUUCCAUAUGAACCUCUCUCGUGAAUACACGAGGAAAUUAUGACAU